AUACGUAGGGAGCGAGCGUUGUCCGGAAUUACUGGGUGUAAAGGGAGUGUAGGCGGGAAAACAAGUCAGAUGUGAAACUAUGGGCUCAACCUGUAGACUGCAUUUGAAACUAUUUUUCUUGGGUGAAGUAGAGGUAAGCGGAAUUCCUAGUGUAGCGGUGAAAUGCGUAGAUAUUAGGAGGAACAUCAGUGGCGAAGGCGGCUUACUGGGCUUUUACUGACGCUGAGGCUCGAAAGCGUGGGGAGC
rnacentral:rRNA from 1 species